AUGGAGAGUUUGAUCCUGGCUCAGGAUGAACGCUAGCUACAGGCUUAACACAUGCAAGUCGAGGGGCAGCAUGUAGGUUGCUUGCAACCUAUGAUGGCGACCGGCGCACGGGUGCGUAACGCGUAUCCAACCUUCCCCGCAGUAGGGUGCAGCCCGUUGAAAGACGGAUUAAUCCCCUAUGUUGUCCAUUGACGGCAUCCGAUUUGGACGAAAGAUUUCAUCGCUGCGGGAUGGGGAUGCGUAGGAUUAGGUAGUCGGCGGGGUAACGGCCCACCGAGCCUUCGAUCCUUAGGGGUUCUGAGAGGAAGGUCCCCCACACUGGAACUGAGACACGGUCCAGACUCCUACGGGAGGCAGCAGUGAGGAAUAUUGGUCAAUGGAGGCAACUCUGAACCAGCCAAGUAGCGUGCAGGACGACGGCCCUACGGGUUGUAAACUGCUUUUAUGCGGGGAUAAACGGCAUUACGUGUAGUGCUUUGCAGGUACCGCAUGAAUAAGGACCGGCUAGUAAUACGGAAGGUCCGGGCGUUAUCCGGAUUUAUUGGGUUUAAAGGGAGCGCAGGCGGCACUUCAAGCGUGACGUUAAAUUUCGGGGCUCACCCCCGUUUUGCGUCGCGAACUGUUGUGCUUGAGUAGGCGGCAGGGAGGCGGAAUUCGCGGUGUAGCGGUGAAAUGCUUAGAUAUCGCGAGGAACUCCGAUAGCGCAGGCAGCCUCCCGUUGCUUUACUGACGCUCAUGCUCGAAGGUGCGGGUAUCGAACAGGAUUAGAUACCCUGGUAGUCCGCACUGUAAACGAUGGAUGCCCGCUGUUGGGCCUUUUGGGUUCAGCGGCUCAAAGGAAUUGACGGGGGCCCGCACAAGCGGAGGAACAUGUGGUUUAAUUCGAUGAUACGCGAGGAACCUUACCCGGGCUUGAACUGCAGCGGAAUGCGGAAGAGAUUCCAAAGCCAGCAAUGGCCGCUGUGGAGGUGCUGCAUGGUUGUCGUCAGCUCGUGCCGUGAGGUGUCGGCUUAAGUGCCAUAACGAGCGCAACCCUUCUCGCGAGUUGCCAUCGGGUGAUGCCGGGGACUCUCGCGACACUGCCUCCGCAAGGAGUGAGGAAGGUGGGGAUGACGUCAAAUCAGCACGGCCCUUACGUCCGGGGCUACACACGUGUUACAAUGGCGCGUACAGAGGGCAGGCGUAUGGCGACAUGCGUCGAAUCCUUAAAUCGCGUCCCAGUUCGGACCGGGGUCUGCAACCCGACCCCGCGAAGCUGGAUUCGCUAGUAAUCGCGCAUCAGCCAUGGCGCGGUGAAUACGUUCCCGGGCCUUGUAC
rnacentral:rRNA from 1 species